GAACCGUGAGAUCAUGACCUGAGCCGAAGUCAGACGCUCAACUGACCGAGCCACCCAGGCGCCACCCCCCACUCCUUCCAACUCCCCUGCUGGUGGCCACACUCCUGCGGAGGCCCCUCCCGUGCUGAACUGGGUGACCGCGUAACCACAGGGACACUGUAGAAACGGCAGGGUGGGGCUUCCUCGUGUGCUCUCGCAGGAGCUCGUCACCUGGGAGGUGGACCCUCCAGGCUCAGGUAAACUUCCAGGAGAUGCGGCCCCGACCCACACGUUGACACAACCUCCUGAGACACCCCGUGCAAGAACGACCCGGCUGCGUCGUCGUUCCUUCCCCAAUUCCAGGCCCACAGAAACUGAGGUGAUACGUGUUCUUGUGUUUUCAGCACGUUGGAGCCAUUUACCGCCCAGCAACAGAUGAGCAACACAGCCUCUCUCUCUCUCUCUCUCUCUGGCUGUCUUUUGCAGCUGUACAAAAGUGCAGUCCUGCUCCACAGUGGUCAGAGUUCCCGUGGCUGCAUGACAGGAAGCCCUCAGGACGCCGCGAACAGGCAGGAAGCAGUCCUGGGGCCACAGGAAGCAUCCCAGAAGGAUAGGGCAGCAGCAGGAAGUAACACUCAGCAGACAGGAAAGGGAAGACGAUACAAACACAGAGGUCUGGGUUCUGCAGGCAUCUGACAUAUUAAGUGAGUUCCAACCCUUUGAGGAUGCAGGUAUGGACCAGGAGCUUCCGAACUUUGAGGCUUCUCCUCCUCGGCCCCAUCUACCUGCCUUCAGACUCAGCCAGCUCUAACGCUGAGGGUUCCAGAGGCACCCUUUCUUGUUGCUGGGGCUCUGUUCUGCUUUGCACGUACCCACCCCGGCCCGAGGGUGAAAACCCCUCAGGGCCGUCGGGGGCCCAAGGCAUCGCUUCUCUGCAGGUCUGGUACAGCCACCGUGUGCCUGGCACGAUUCCCGACUUUGGCAGUGAUCAGGACGGGAGCCACGGGAUAAGGACCUCCACAUCCAGCACUCGAAACGUGGCUCAUGCCACUGAGGAAUGGACUGCUUAAUGUUACUUCAUUUUAAUUAGAACAUACAUGCAAAUAGCCAGCUGUGGCUAGUGGCUUCUGAAUUGGGCGGCAUGGCUCUUAUCCACGUUCGGGGUCUAUAACGCAGGCUCUGUAGAGUUGUAUUUUUAUUUCUUAAUUGGUAAAUUAAAGUACUAUUUACAUAGAGGAAA